rnacentral:lncRNA from 1 species
CAAAGAAAGUAGUCCAAUUAAAGAUAUGUUAUUGAGUAAUACCUUUCAUAUUUUAUUUGGAAUUUUUUAGGGGUGCAGUGCUUUCUUAUAACUUCAUAUUCCAUAAUGUGAUAUCCAAGGAUGGGCUCUUUAAAGAACAAAUGGUACCCAUCUCAUUAUCUUGUGAAUAUAAAACUGUUUUCUUAAACAUAGUAAGGGUUCAUACCUGGAGAUCUUCAAGAUAUCUGUCAGCUCUUUGUAUCUGAAACUUCAUAUGCCUCUGAUUAUGUGUAUUUUGACAGAGAGAGGUCUCUAUGAUUUUACUUUUUUUUGUUUAGGCUCUCAAAGGGGUUUAAAACCUCCAGUAGGCAGAGAACCACUGUGUUCAUGGAAGGCAGACAUACCAACACGGUUCUGGCAGGUAACAGAUGGCACCUUCAAAUGGGAUUAGAGUUUAAUGAAGAGGCUAUUUUCAAGGAUGUGGGAAGGGUUAAAGGAAAUCAGCCAAUGAUGAAUCCCCAGGGCUAGCGAUGAAUUCCACUGGCUAGGUCCCAGUGGAAGGCUGGGAUCACCCCUAGACCUGAAGAUGCCAGGAAAGGGAGCUUAUUUCGGAAUCCAGAGAGCUGUAGCUAUAGCUGCUGGGUAGGGUAUUUCUCAGCAGUGUAGCCUUUGGUGGAGGGAAUGAGAUCCCUUUCGAUCUGUGCUUAGAAGGGAGGCAGUUGGAGGGAAAACACCUCAUUUUCCUUCGACCUUGGAUCUAUUCCGAGUGCCUUCUAAUAACACAAUCCUGUUAUAGGUGGAAGGCGAUGAGACCCAUGGACACAAUCUUUAAAGGUCACAGGUAAUAAAGAAAGAGCAUAGAUCUGAAGGGGCAAACAGAGAAUGUUCAGUGUAAUGAAACCUAGUUAGCUUGCUUUAUCACAAUCCCAGUGACUGUUUUCCUAUUGCCAGCAUGAGCUGAAGUUAAGUUCUGCUGUAAUAACUUAGUUUAGAAAUAUCUACAACCUAGACCAAUGCAGCUUUAUGUUUGGUUAUUUUUUCCAGUCUUCUACUUCUUAAGGAUGAUUUCUGAUUAAGCCAUGCAAACACCAGAGGGUCAGAAGCUUAAAAUUAAUUUUAUGUUAAGACAAGUAUUAUGGAUGUUGGGACAAUUUUAAGGCAGGUAGAUAUCAUGUGAGCAAUUUUACUAGAAUGCUAGAGAGGCAAGAAAAACAAUAGUCAUUGAUUCAUUCCAAGUGAAACAAAACAAUAAUUGUCCUAUAUGCAAGAGAAUUUGUACUUGGUUUUUAUUUCAGUGAGAGACUCAGGUCUGUAAGCUGCAGCAUUGCAUUAACUCACUGUACAGAGUUCAUUAUUGUAAUUAGACUGCUUUUUAAGAUUAUUAGUGGACUCACUAAUGUACUCUUAAAAAGCUUUAUUUGGAAAGAAGUCAAUAUCCAAAGCCAAUAGACCUGACAAGCUUGUGGCACACGCUCUGUUGCUGAAAAUCAUGUUAUCAAUUUUCAUGUGACUGUUAAUCAAUUAGAGUGACAGAGAGAUGAUUUGAAGUCAAUUUUCUGUUUAUUGCUAAAUUAGCAUUUGAUCACAUGUGCUUAUUUUGGGUUUCAAAGAAGCUAUGGUUUCCUUUGUCAAGAGAAAGAAGGGAGGACAAUGGUGGGAAUAAUCAUUUGUGAUUUUUAAAAUAUUUGCAUAUUAAGAUACAACUGUUAGUGACAGAGUUAAAAUGGCAGGUCUGUGCUUAUGUUAGCAUUGGGACAGCUGCCAUAGGACGCCUGAUUGGGUGAAAAGUGUUACGCUUGAUACAGACAUACCUGGUCAGCAUAGAACCCAAGAAAUGAAUCCAGCACUGGGGCUGUAGUGAUUGGUUAGCAUAUUGUCCUCAAAACGAAGAGAGAGCCAGUUUUUCAAAUUGGAGAAGUGUGCUGUAAGAUGCAUUGUCUUUGGAAUAGAAGGGAAACAUACUCUGGCUCUUUGUGGAAUAGUAACACGAUCUACUGUAGCCAAAUUGUUGAUUAGAUGUUGAGCGUGUCAACCAGAUUCAAGUAAAAGACUAUGAAAUGAUACAGUAACUCGCACUGAACAUAAUGGUGACAGUGGUGGUGGUGGCGGUGCUGGCUAAUUUUUUAUUGAGUACUUGCUAGGUGCCAAUGUUAUGCCAAGUGUUUUAGAAAACAAACACUGGCAGUAAUUCUAAGAGUUCUUCUCUAUUUGUUUCUAAUUACUUUAGUUCUCCUCUCUAUUUAACAGAGAAAGAUAUGAAAACAUCUUUACGUGACUAGAUAAUAGUAUCUAGUUUCUCUAGGGCACCGUACUUGAGAAGAAGCAGCAAAGGCAUAAAGAUUAAGUGGCUUGUAUAGCAUCAAGGUUGUGUUUUGUCCAAUGCUAGAGACUGUAAAUUUGACCAUGAUGCUCAACUUUCUCCUUUGGAGUCAGAAGGCCUCUCUUUGCAUUUGUUAAGUUGACUGAUCUAGGAGCUUCCAUUUUCUCAUAUAUAAAACGAGGGGUUCAGCAAGGUGAGUUCUUAGGAUCUUUGUAGCCUUAAAUAUUCAGAUUCUAGAAGCAUCCAGAAGGGAGCAAUUCCUCUCAAAUGUAGAAUAUUAUGCCAAUAUUCCAAGUAUAAAUCAAAUACUCGGGAAUCUGGAAUGCAGACAUUAUAUUUCUCAUAAGAACCUCAACUCCUUGUAAUUGCAUAUUUUCAAUUACUCAGUGGUGUAAUUGAAUCACCAAAGUAUGGCUCCUUAAUUUAUGUUGAAUAGCAGGUGGACAAGUUUACUAUCAGAAGUGUUGCACAUUCUGACUUUUCUUCCUUUAAGAUAUGCUUCCACUUGGAAAGCAGAAUAAAUUACUGAGGGUGUGUUGAUGAUUCACAGUUAUGGAGGGAACAUUAAAGCUUUGGGAUGACAGAAUGUAUUUUGUCCAUAUAUUUGGACAAGUGAAGUCGAGUUUAAAUUACUUAGGAUAAUAUUUAAUGGUGGGCCAGUAAAUGCACUGUUGUCUCUUCCAUGAGUGUAAUUAAAUUGUGUAAGACAAGACCUCACCAUGGCUCUUAGCUAUUAAAUCUCUGUGGCGACGUGAGGUGAGCCUGUCAGGGUUCUGUGGGGAAUUACCAAGCCUGAGGAGUUAAGAGGCAGGAUUGGCCAGCUUCCGCCAUAUAUCACUUGCUCUAUUUGGAUUCUGGAAUGCCCAUCUCAGGGCAGUGUCUGGGGUGCACUUACAAGGUUUAAAUAGAAAUUAAACUGGAGAUGGGUCCACUGCCGAAUAUAGCUAUUUGCUUUCAUAAACAC